rnacentral:tRNA from 1 species
GCGGACGUGAUGGAAUUGGUAUACAUGUACGCUUGAGGUGCGUAUGCCGCAAGGCUUGGGGGUUCGAGUCCCCCCGUCCGCA